GACGAACGCUGGCGGCGUGCUUAACACAUGCAAGUCGAGCGGUAAGGCCUUUCGGGGUACACGAGCGGCGAACGGGUGAGUAACACGUGGGUGACCUGCCUUUAGCUUCGGGAUAAGCCUGGGAAACCGGGUCUAAUACCGGAUAUGGCCUCAUGUCGCAUGGUGUGGGGUGGAAAGUUCUUCGGCUAGAGAUGGGCCUGCGGCCUAUCAGCUU
rnacentral:rRNA from 1 species